UACGUAGGUGACAAGCGUUGUCCGGAUUUACUGGGCGUAAAGAGCGCGCAGGCGGUCGAUCAAGUCGAGUGUGAAAGCCCCCGGCUCAACUGGGGAGGGUCAUUCGAAACUGGUCGACUCGAAGGCAGGAGAGGGUAGUGGAAUUCCCGGUGUAGUGGUGAAAUGCGUAGAUAUCGGGAGGAACACCAGUGGCGAAGGCGACUACCUGGCCUGUUCUUGACGCUGAGGCGCGAAAGCUAGGGGAGCAACGGG
rnacentral:rRNA from 1 species